GUUAGUUGCCAUCAUUCAGUUGGGCACUCUAGCGAGACUGCCGGUAAUAAACCGGAGGAAAGUGGGGAUGACGUCAAAUCAUCAUGCCCCUUAUGACCUGGGCUACACACGUGCUACAAUGGUUGGUACAACGAGUUGCGAGUCGGUGACGGCGAGCUAAUCUACUUAAAGCCAAUCUCAGUUCGGAUUGUAGGCUGCAACUCGCCUACAUGAAGUCGGAAUCGCUAGUAAUCGCGGAUCAGCACGCCGCGGUGAAUACGUUCCCGGGCCUU
rnacentral:rRNA from 1 species